GGGGGGGGGGGGGGGGGGCGAGGGCGGGCGGGGGGGGGGGCGGGGCGGGGGGAGGGUGCGCGUGCGGGUGGGGAGGGGGGGGCGGGUGGGGAAGCCGUCGGAAUCACCGGUUUCUGGGGGGAUACCGGAGGGAGACUUACGCUAAUACCGCGAACGCCCUACGGGUGAAAGCGGAGGACCUUCGGACCUUCGGCAGUCGAAGAAGCCGGGGUCGGACUAGCUAGUGGUCGGGGGAAAGGCCCACCCAGGCGACGAUCCGUAGCUGGUAUGAGAGGAGGAUCCGCCACACUGGAACUUGGGAACGGUCCAGACGCCUAAGGGAGGCAGCAUGGGGGAAUAUUGGACAAUGGGCGCAAGCCUGAUCCAGCCAUACCGCGUGGGUGAAGAAGGCCUUCGGGUUGUAAAGCCCUUUUGUUGGGAAAGAAAAGCAGCAGGUUAAUACCCCGCUGUUCUGACGGUACCCAAAGAAUAAGCACCGGCUAACUUCGUG
rnacentral:rRNA from 1 species